rnacentral:rRNA from 2 species
UGGGGAAUAUUGCACAAUGGGCGCAAGCCUGAUGCAGCAACGCCGCGUGCGGGAUGACGGCCUUCGGGUUGUAAACCGCUUUCAGCAGGGACGAAGCGCAAGUGACGGUACCUGCAGAAGAAGCACCGGCUAACUACGUGCCAGCAGCCGCGGUGAUACGUAGGGUGCGAGCGUUGUCCGGAAUUAUUGGGCGUAAAGAGCUUGUAGGCGGUCUGUUGCGUCGGAAGUGAAAACUCAGGGCUUAACCCUGAGCCUGCUUUCGAUACGGGCAGACUUGAGGAAUGUAGGGGAGAAUGGAAUUCCUGGUGGAGCGGUGGAAUGCGCAGAUAUCAGGAGGAACACCAGUGGCGAAGGCGGUUCUCUGGACAUUUCCUGACGCUGAGAAGCGAAAGCGUGGGGAGCAAACAGG